GUUUUCGUGGCCUAGUGGUUUUAGGGCGUCUGUCUUACAUAAAUAUCUAUUUUAUGAUCACAGAAGAUCCCCGGUUCAAUCCCGGGCGGAAACA